UACGUAGGGGGCGAGCGUUGUCCGGAUUUACUGGGCGUAAAGAGCGCGUAGGCGGAAAUUUAAGCGUGGCCUGAAAGCCCCCGGCUCAACCGGGGAGUGCGGCUGCGAACUGGGUUUCUUGAGGACGAUAGAGGAGAGUGGAAUUCCUGGUGUAGCGGUGGAAUGCGCAGAGUAUCAGGAGGAACACCGGUGGCGAAGGCGGGUCUCUGGGCAGUAACUGACGCUGAGGAGCGAAAGCGUGGGGAGCGAACAGG
rnacentral:rRNA from 1 species